UACGUAGGGGGCUAGCGUUGUCCGGAAUUACUGGGCGUAAAGCGCACGUAGGCGGAUAUUUAAGUCAGGGGUGAAAUCCCGGGGCUCAACCCCGGAACUGCCUCUGAUACUGGAUAUCUCGAGUCCGGAAGAGGUGAGUGGAAUUCCGAGUGUAGAGGUGAAAUUCGUAGAUAUUCGGAGGAACACCAGUGGCGAAGGCGGCUCUCUGGGACGGUACUGACGCUGAGACGCGAAAGCGUGGGGAGCGAACAGG
rnacentral:rRNA from 1 species